UGUUGGUUAUCAGAGGUAGGUGACUUAGGGGCCCAUCCCUCAGUCGACAGCUGUAAAUGUUGGGGCACUAGAUGUGUGGACAAGCUUCUUCCAGGCAGAUACUUUUGACUUGGUUUCAUUGUUGGAACAAGCCAGGGGAAGAAGGUUGGGAUGUGCCCACUGGCUCUUUUGGGCUCCAGGACUAAUUGCAGUCAGCACCUAGUUGUGUGCUAAUUAGAAGCAGAACUCUCAGGCAGCAGCUGACAAAGCAUGCAGUUAAAUUCCUUCCAGGGAAAGACUGGAAGAUGGGCAUUUUUGCUUGAUCCUUCUACACUGAGCCCCAUGGGUUAACUUAGAGUGAGAGGCAGUGUCUGAAGCCAGGAAGAGAGCUCUCACCAGAAUCUGACCAUGCUGGCACCCUGAUCUUGGACUUCUGGUCUCCAGAACUGAUGUAAGUCACAUGAAGGUGGGGACUUUAUUUUGUCUUACUUCACUGCCUGCGUGUGCGUUAAAUGACUGAUGAAGAGCUGUGUGCUAAUGCUGAGAAACUCCUGACGAGGCUGAACUUGAGUGUACAGUCAACGAGUACGGUACUUGAGGGCCGCGAGGUUUGGAAUGAACUCCUGAAGAAUACAGAGGACGAGCAUCUGAAAUCUCCACUUCCCGUGAUUAAGCAGGCAGCAGGAUAUGCCUUUGCCACGCCUAUCUAAUGGCGGUUUGUUUGUUUAAUAUUAAAAUGUUGUUAGAGCUACGUAAGACAUCUGCGUUUCCUCCUGAUUCGUUGAGGCCUGAUGCAUUAAGCAUCUGUAACGCUAUUUCUUUUUAUGUCAUUAAGGGUGGGGAUGUGCUAAUGUAAAUACCAAUUGGGAAGCUUGAGUAAUUUUUCAAAUUUUUCAAUCAUGCUGUUUGCUGUAUUAUUAUUCUGGAUUAGUCUACUUUAGGUACAAUUUUACAGUAUCAUCAAAGUCGUACUCCAAUAUUUAGAUCCCAAAUGACAGAUUUAAUGGCCUUAGUUAACAUCCCCAUGAUGUAGGCUUAAUUUUAUGGUUCACCUGUUUUUGCUGUUUACUUCCCUGAGCUUCAGCCAAGCUGAAGAAACUGUAUGAAAGCAGAGUCCGAUUGUCCAUAAAAGAAAAUGCCACCUUCCUUAGAAAAAGGAAAACCUGGAUUCUCCUGAGUGGGCACCUGAAAGAGACUCUGCACAUGGGGCUGGAGGAAAUGUACACCCCACACUCCUGCGCUUCUGCCCAGCUGGAGGCAAAAGACUCCAAGGCUUUAGGCCAUGGUUAAGCCUGAAGACAGGAUGAGCCGGGAGCCCUGAAUUCGGCUUGAGGAGAGCAACUCAAGAAAGCCGGAGUUUUCUGCCCUCAUCAACUGGAUGUUAGUUCUCUCCUUGGACUGAUCUCUGCUGGCAGGUUGCUGUAACAUCCACAUACUUAUAUGCUUCAGGGUAAGAGGGCAUGAAGAUAGGUAUAGGAUUCAACUUUGCUCUAGAGCUUUCUCCAAUUUUAAAUGAAAAUCUUGCCCUUACGUCCUAGAAGAGGUCAGAUAACUCUUUGUGAAACCUCUUGAAAUAAAAAAUAGAAUAGAAGUUUACUCUACAGGCUGGAAUGUCCUUCUGAGUGUAUUAAACUAUGUCACUGGUCUCCCUCCCGUGAUGGGAGGAAGGAAACUCAGAGGAGGAAAGAGAAGAAAAGAGAAGGAGGGAGACAGUGGCUGAAGAAUGAGAUGUGAUGUGACCCUAAGUAGCGCCUCCUCUCCAACCACCCGCUCCUCUUUUCUCUGAGAUGCUUGCUCUAUAACAAUGCCUGUAACUCAAGGAAAUUGCUUCUGCCGCUUUUAUUCCCCAGGACACUUUGUCCCUUAAGGAAUUGUUCAAUUAAAGAGCUCUAAAAGGAUUGCAUUAACUGAAGAUAUCCAGUCUUCCUUUAUUUCUCAUCACCAAAAUGACAAAGACAGAAUCAGGCACCAUUAGUGCUGAUGUUUCAGUCCAUGUAGGUCUUCAUUAGGCCCCUUUAACAUAACCAUUGAAGGCGAC
rnacentral:lncRNA from 1 species